GGAAACCUUGGGGUCCCACCAUCUCGUCUCCCCUUCACGGGACGAUGCCUGCGUGGGGUGGGGGGCUGUGGGGCCAUGGCCAUCCUGCACCCCGUCGGAGGCUGGCGAGGCUCCAGCCCCAGCAGGACGGAGCGGAGGGGCCUGCAGAGCUCGAGCUCUGCCUUCCGAGCGGCUGCUCAGCGACCGGCUGCCCACUUCACCUGAUUCUUCUGACUGUGUAGCUCUCUUCAGGGUUUGCACUGAGUAAGGCCACCUGCACAGGUCUGGGGGUCAGGACUUCAGCCUAAGAAUGUGGGGGACACAACUCAGCCCAUGCCCUGCACCUGCCCAGUGAGAACAGAGUGUGUUGAUGAGCAGGGACCAGGUGAGGAGGCGGGAGCCCAGCGAGCACCUUGGGGGAGGGGAGGCCGCACACGACCCAGAGAGGGGCUGUGGUGUCACCUGGCCCCGCCCAAUGAGUUAACAGGACACUUGGCCGCUGAAAACAGCUGUCAGUUCUUAUCUCGAGGUCUCUGUGGGCCUGGAAUCCGGGCUCUGCUCACCUGGGUGCCGGAGGCUGGGGCCGCAGUCUCAUCUGAAGGGUCCACGGGGAGGCCGGGGUGGGGGGUCUGCUUCCAAGUUCACACACGUGCCUGUGGGCAGGCCUCCGUCCCUCGCCGCGUGAGGCGUCUCGCCCAGGUCGGGAGCCACAGCCCUUUUAUAUCUGAUCCCGGGAAGGACGUCCAGUCAUUUGUGCUGCCUUCUGUUGUUCCAAGGGCCAUCUGCCGGCCCAGCCCAUGGGGAGCCGUGCACGUGAAGGGCCGCGUGCCCGGAGGUAGGAUUCUCGGGCUACCUUGGAGGCUGUCCACAUCCACCAGAGCGCUGGUCACCCAAGCCUCUGUUGGUGCCUCUCUGGCCUCUGUUUCCUCAGUGGCAGUGGGGUCCCUGACAGAUUAGCGGGGGGCUCUCCGCUGGCCUCGUGAACUUAAACCGCUGCUGCUGCCCGUUCUGAUGGCUUCAACGUGUCGCAUCCCUGACCUGAGCCGUCCUCUCCCCAGGCACCCAGGGGAGCCAUCUCGGCCUCCCUCGCCCCCGGGUCUCGGUGCCGACAGUCACCCUGCCUGCCCCAGAACCAUGGCGGGUCCGGCAGGAGCGCCUUAGUGUGGCCCUCAAAAAAGAGGGUCUCCCGCCCCCUGCUGGCGCCCGGCGGAAGUGUCAGCAAAUCGGGGUGGCUGGGGUGUCCCUGGAACAAAAGGAAGCUUGUUAGUUUCAGGCGAGACA